rnacentral:misc_RNA from 1 species
UACCAUGUGAUUUUGGCCUUAUUCUUUGGAAUGUGUUCACGUGUUUUAUUUUGAAAAAUUUUUGAGGUUGCUGAUCGCAAUCGACCAUCUUUAUUGUGUCGAAAAUGUUUUUGUUUCAUCGAGUUGCUUUUGUAUUCCUAUAUUUUUGAAUAACUUGGUUGUGAAACUGUGGAAGAUUAGAGAAGUUGUACCUAAAGGGCCAUCUACAAUGGAGUGUUUUAGUCGUAACAACGCUAAAUCUACGACCAUGCUGUCAAUAAUAUAAACGACGUAGCAAUAAUAUACAAGCCGGCUAUCAUAGGGAGGUGACUAAAAACUAACCCCGAACACCUGAACGCUCAUCGUAACGAGUAUCAAUAAUUAAAACAACUGAAUUUUAUUGAGAUGGAAUCUUCUGAGAAAAAGAAAAGAAAGAAAGGAAUAAUCUAUUUAUCCACAAUUCCGAAAUAUAUGAACGUCACUAUGAUUCGGGAGAUAUUAUCUGCUUAUGGAAAGGUGGAUAGAGUUUAUCUACAACUAGCCAAUAAUGAGCCACAAUCAGUGAAACAUAAGAAAAAGGUGAAGAAAGCAAUCAAACACUUUACCGAAGGUUGGGUGGAGUUUGAAAGUAAGAAAGUGGCAAAAUUUGUAGCAGAAACAUUAAAUAAUACUCAAGUGUCUACGAGAAAGAAAAGCAAGUUCUAUGACAUUAUGUGGAAUAUAAAGUAUUUGCCUAGAUUUAAAUGGAUUCACUUGAGCGAACGUUUAGCUUAUGAACGUGCAGUUCAUAAACAAAGACUUCUAACGGAAAUAGCACAAGCUAAGAGAGAAGUUAACUUCUUCUCGUAUAACGUAGACAGAAGUAAAAAGCUGUGUAAGAAACACGAACAAGGAGAAGAAACGAUGUUUGAAUUGCCUGAAGUUAAGCAAAGAGAUACUGAUAGUGAAAUAAGGAAUAGGAAAGCAAAUAAUUAUGAAGAAGAUAGAUCAGAGUUCCUUAAAUCGAUAUUUGGAUAAAAUUUAUAACAAUCAUCAUUAUACUAUAUUUUUUUUAAAAUAAGAAAGUUAUUUACAAAAAUUCUAAAACAUAAUUGUUAAAAAAUGUGGCGGCUAUGACCAUUAACAAAGUGGCCCUCCUCAAUUAGAAAAAAAAGAACUGUGAUAAAGAACAUAAUGCAUCAUCUAUCAGUUUCAGAGAACUGUAUAGAAGUUACGAAAGUUGUUGAAAUAACUUUCAAUAAAAAAAAUUUACAAGAGGAAGGCAGGCAUAGUUUAAUGAAGAAUUCGAGACAUUAUUAGAUUGUCCACAAUUCACAGCACUGUCACAACUUGUAACAAAUAUGAAUUAUAAUACAAGGUAAUUUUUAUUUUAUGAAAUUAUUUGAUUAAUCAAAUUGAUCAAAUAAUUAUUGUCGAUUGUUCAUUAAAAUUACAUAUUAGAAAAAAAUAUAUUACAAAAUAAUAUAAAUAAAGUUACUGAAUUAUUAAUAAUAUAAAUAAAGUUACUAUUAUAUUAGAAGCAUUGUAAUAGAAGCUGGGAAAAAAUUGAAAUUGUAUACAACGAAUCAAAUGAAGCUUAUGCGACUUUGAAAUAAACGAAUUAAUUUGUUUUGUUUUAAUUUGUAAUUUUGUUUUUAUUAAAGUGAAUGUAAUGUU